GGCAGAAAAAGGCAAACUCAUUGAAAAAUGGGGACGCAAAGUCACAGGUCUAAAGUAUUAAUAGAAAAUCACUUUCCUUUAAGACUACAUAAUGAAAGACUUCUAACGUGAAAUGGAAUGAAUAUUAAUACGAUGGCGGCUGGAUUGCCUGG
rnacentral:ncRNA from 1 species